ensembl:lncRNA
CGGCGGGAUGCGGCGCUCCUCUCAGGCUCCGGCCCCGCCGAGGGGGUUCCGCCGUCCCUGCGGUAUUUCACCGCUCGUUGCCGUUGUGCUUUUUUUUGUGGGCCACGGACGACCAUAAAGAGAUCCCCGCAUCGCUCGUAUGCGUAGAUACGCCAUACGUUCAUAGUCACAUAACGUAGGAAGCGCAGUGUCAGAAAACGCCUCCGGUCAUCUGGCUGCCUCGAGGUCCACGAUCACCACAUCUAGAGAAAGAAACAAUUGGAAAAGACAAAAGUUCCCUUUCAGCGCUGCCGCCCAGCCCGCGCUGCGGGGUCCGCCCGGUGCGGUGAGCAGGUGCUGCCGUCGCUGCCGUGCGCUCAGGGCUGCAGGCAGUGCCCGCGGGCCCGCUUUGUCACGGAGCUCUGCGGAAUGCUGCUCGGAAGUGAAGUCCUGGGAAGGCAUGAAAACCGGUUUGUAAUCGCCUCAGCGUGUGGGGAUGACAGCAGCAUGGAAUCAUUAAGGUUGGAAAGACCACUACAGUCAUCUAGUCCAACCGUCAGCCCAUCCCCACCAUCCCGAUAACCCAUGUCCCUCAGUGCCACAUCUCCACGUUUCUUGAGCACCUGCAGGGGCAGUGACUCCGUCACCUCCCUGGGCAGCCUGUGCCAGCGCCUCACCACUCCUGCUGAGAAGAAAUUGUUCCUAAUAUCCAACCUGAACCUCCCCUGGUGCAAUUUGUGGCUAUUUUCUCUCACCCUAUCACUGUUACCUGGGAGCAGAGACCAACUCCCACCUCGUCGCAACCUCCUUUCUGGCAGUGUAGAGAACAAUAAGGUCUUUCCUGAGCCUCCUCCAGGCCAUCGCAGUUCCCUCAGCCGCUCCCCAUCAGACGUGUGUUCCAUAUUCUUCACAGCUUUGUUGCACUUCUCUGGACACGCUCCAUGGCCUCGACGUCCUUCUUGUAGUGAGGGGCUCACAGCUGAGCACAGAAAUUUCUGUCAGCCCUGGGUUUGUGCACAAAAUGAAUCAAUGGCCCAAAGGUCCAAGCUCAGGACCACUCUGCUGUUUGGAAAUUGCUUUUACUGGACACUCGCCAUUAUUUCAGCUACCCUGAAAUGUACUUCAAAGAGACUUGGUGAGAAAAAUAGUCAAAAAUCAAGUUUGUCUCAGCAAGGAGAUACUGAAUGUAUCUUGAUGAUGAUGUGGCUUCAGCAAGUAACAAGAAGAAAAUGUAGCAAUCUCUGUGGUGCUUUUUUUCAUUCAAGCUAUGACCUCAAAGCCAUUUUUAAUUGGAUGCAUUUCCAAAUGAAGCCACUGCUCCCUGUAGGAGCAUUUUUCCAGUUGCACCUGGUUCACAAAUUGGACAUUAUGAACUUGGCAAACCAGUACAGUGAGCGAUCUGUGUUUAGGGGUGAUACCUCUGCUCUACAGCAGGUGAAAGACACCUCUACCAACAGAGUAUAGGACACUGUUCAGCAGUGUCUUGUGGCUUGCUUUCUCUCUGUGGGAAAAGCCAGUAUGGAGCACUGAUGAACAAAAUGAAGUUCACAGCUAUUUAGCACUGCCCAGCAUGAGAGAUAUCUCCAUAACCACACUAAGUCCUGAAGACAGGCCAUGAGCACACACUACACUGCAGAAGGCUGCUCCUCCAACAGGCACUGGGAAUGCUGCAGCUUCCUUCUGGUGGCCAGGAGCCCUGGUUUCAGCCAAAGCACAGUGCCAACAUCACAUCAAUGCUGUGGUUGCUGCUGAGCAAUGGGAGCUUCCUGGGGCCCUUUAUGCGUGUCAGCAGGAGGUGGACAGAGCCCAGACAGAUCUACAGCCAACUUGAAUUGAGUGGACACACCAGGCUGUGUGACUGGCAGCUUUGUGCAUUAGUGGGCAUCAGACCUGAGUUCAGCUAUUGCCGAGUCUGUGAGGGAAGGUGUGUGGCUGGAAUUGGAAACACUGGAUUUGAGAGAAGAACCUUAAUUCAAACCAGCAGGCUUUAAAGGACAAAUGUGGACAGUUCAGAGCUGUGUGCUAGAGAGCCAAGUCUUUAGUUUGUCUCAGAAUGGUUUGUUUAUAAGAACUGGCAAAUGUGCUUUUGAUUAAAGACAAACAUCCAAAUGCACUGACUUCUACAGAUUCUGGAACAGAAGGACUCUCACUCUCAUUUAUGCGUGCACACAUAAAUAUAUGUCUAUAUCUGAUAUUACUGUUCUUAUUUUGGUAGAACCUAGAGACCCCAUCACAUUAAUCAUUCUACAGAUGCAAUGUAAGUAUCUUAACAUAGUUGGCUUUCAGUAAGGUAAGACUUGCUAGUUAGUGUGGGUUUAUGGAUCUUAUUAUCCCAUCUUAAGGAUGAGAUUAUUUUUUAUAUUUUUAUCUUGAAAGAGAAAUAUUUACAUUUUUAAGUAAAAUCUGUAACUGUACCACCCUUUCAAUAUUCCAACUUUAGCCCCAAGAGUAGAAGACAGUGCCAGACAUGCAUUCCCUUGUGUUUUUUAUCGUUGAUUUUGGUAUGCUCUAUUUUUAUUCAAUUCUAUGGGAAAUGCAUACACUUUGUGCAGUUGCCAGAAUGCGAUUCCCCAAUGCCCUCUCUUUAUUUCCAAGUGUUCUUUUUUCAGAUUCAAGUCCUCUUGCGACAGCACUUUCUCUUGUUUGAUCAAGUAAUCCUUGCUCAUACUGAACCCAUUUGCUGAGGACAACACUUAUGUACGCGGAGCUGAAAGGGCAGACAUCUGAGUUAAGGAAAGUCUCCCACCCUGACAGUAAUGGUUGGUUUUACUUCCUUUUUCAGGGUCUGCCAUUAUUUGUGCUCACUGCACCUAAGGGCUGUAUGCGCACAGCUCUGUCGGCAACCAACAGGGCAGAAUCCUCGCUUUGUUCAAAUUCAGCUGAGUGUAGCAGAGCCGGGCUGUUGUUGGGGUGAUGGUCACGUUCUGUUGAAAUCCCCCUCUCCCACCCUAUGUUGCAGCACUGUCUGGAGGCUGCCCAAGUUUUGGCAGAUUAAUCUGUAGGUACCAUCCAUGUUCUGGGGCUAGUCAGAACACGUCAGGCUUCAGACUGAUUUACACGGUUGCAGUUGCAUAAGGAGCUACAGAGAAGCUAGAGCUGAUAAUGUGUCUGUAGAACAAGAGAGCAGAUUCAGCUGUGUAACCCCAAAAGGGCAAUGUACUGAAUUAAGGACAUAGUCCUGAGUCAAUGUAUCCACUCACCUUUGCAUGGUGCUGUUCAAGUCAGCAUCGUUUUCUGCCCUCAGAUCACUUCCAUUUGAUGACUUUUUCCUCCUUUACAUUAUGGGUUUAUUUGUGCAUUAAAAUCAGUCUGGCAGUGCCCUUACAGCCAUAAAAUCCACGCUGCUAUAUCAUUACCAUAAAACCUAGAGAAGGUCUCUUGUGUUUGAAAAGAGUUGCAGUCCCAACUCAGUCCUUUACAAAGUGCCCUAGGCAUGUACUGAUGGCAAAGAAAUAGGGCACCACUGGAGAUGACAUCUCCAAUGUCCACCUGCGCUGUGCCUUGUAAAAGUACUGACUCACUUGCACCCUCACACCCUGCAUAAAUGUCCUUCUCUUUUAUCUCAGAAUUACCCAGCAGAGCCUUCAAGCAAAUAGGAAAAGGAAGAAACGUGGUCUCAAGGACAGAUAGGUAGGUUGGUAGUCUUUCGUAUUUCUUCGUCCUGCCUUGAGUUAUACCUCAUAGCUCAGGUGUGUGCUUGUUCCCAGAGGUUUGAUCUACAUGGCUGCUUGAAGAGAGGGUUAUACACACUUCCCCAUAACACAUAUAGCAAGGAUCUAGGUUCAGGGUGCACCCCUUGCCCUGUGGAUUUCUCCAUCUGCUGUCUAGAUAAUGUAAGAGCAUCUUUGUCCAUUGGGGACUUGGACCAGAAACAUCUGGGUUUAGCAGGAAGAGAAACUCAUGAAGAAAGGAGAAGAAAUAUUUUGAAGCCUGGCAGCAGCGUGGAGAUGGAUCUCCAUGAACUGAAGCAGAAGUGGAGACUGAAACUGGCAAUUCUGAGAGGAGUCUUCCAGGCCAGGACCUUCCACAGAGUUUAUGGUGCCAGAAGUACCUGUCCCUGAAAGCCAAUUUUUCCCACCAAGGAAAGGUAUGGUCCUGUCCUUCCAGGUCAGCCUCCAAAAUAGAUGUUUUCAGAAAAGGUCUAUCAGGUCUUUUGGCUGAGGGAAACCUACAUCAGCGUUUCACUGCAGAGGGCUUCCUUUCUCCCAGAAGAACAAAAAGAAAGAAAAAACAAUGUAUCCAAGAGCCUCAAGGGCCUGUAGGCUCAUCCCUGGUAACAUCUCUGGCCUGUCAGAUAUUUCUAAGCUGUGGGCUCUGAAUGCCUCAAAUGUUGGUAUCCAUAAAAGCCCUGGCUUUCAGAAUGAGAUAAGACUUUUCUCACAGGAUUUAUAGACCACAGUGAGCAACCUUCUAAUGCAUCCUAGAACCUCUGAGUGGGAAAUGGGUCUUGGCAGACAGCACAGCUUCCAAAGUCCUUGUGACUUCUGAAAACCAUGUCACCUGCUCCAGCUAUGUGCAGUUUUCUGGGAGAUCCAAAUCUUUCCUUGUAGCACCACUCUGAAGGGUCCUAGGAGAAGUCACUGGGGUGGAAACAAUCACAGAGACUGCAAAACAUAGCCUGGUUUCCUGAAUAGGAAGAAGAUGAUGAAGUCCCAGUCAGACACAUCUGUGGAUCUGGUUUGUGCUACCGAAGGGAGACUGCUUUCUGUGAGUCUCUACUUCUUCUUUCCCCUCUCUCUUAUCCUUCCAAGAUGAAGAGGAAUAGCUAUUAUCUUAAAAUAUCUAUUACUUAGUAAAGAUUAAACAUUAUUUCAUGUUUAAACAUGAGAAGUAUUUAAUAUUUUAAGAUUUAAAACAAAUUAACAUUUACAAAUUAUUCUGUUAUAUAAGCAAAUCCUUGUUUAGAAGGAUAAUGUUUUGAAAAAAGCUUCUACAAAAAAAAACUUGACGUAUUUUAAUUGAUGGCUUUCAUUUUCUAUUUUGUGUCUCAACCAUUGGCAUACCUCAGUUUAGAUGUCAACAUUUUUAUGCCUGGAAGCUGGGGAAUAAAAAUAGUUACACUCUAAAAAGAGGCAGUUCUGAGGGUGAGAGGUCCUGAUCUUGCAAGCUCUUGCUCAAAUGGAAACUCAAUGGGACUACUAAGGGUGAGGAGGAAUUACUCACCCAGCAGACAUUACAAAAUGAGGCUGAGCUCCUCUACUAAAAUGGUAAUAGCUUAAACAUGGAAAAUCUUAUUCAUUCUGCUGAAAUGGGAGGGUGUAAAUAUCUGAGUUUUUUGAAGAAGUGGCCACAGCUGAAAGGCAGCAGAUAUCUGUUUUGAAAGCAGAUGAAAACCUCCUGCUAAGUGGUUAUGCUGCAGUGUUGUCUUAACAUUCAUUGUGUGGUUUGAUUAUUUUGUUUUUAUUGAGUUUUUAUAUUUAAUAUAGAUGAGCUACAGUGAUUGCAGGAUGGUUUGGAAGCCAAGUAUGUAUUCGUGUGAAUAUUAACAAUGCCUUGGGCUACAAAGAAAGCUUGAAAACUUUGUAUUAACUUAAAUAAAAAUCAGUGCAUGUUUGGAAUUACUUAAUUACGUGCCCUUAAAAACAG